rnacentral:rRNA from 1 species
ACGAACGCUGGCGGCGUGCUUAACACAUGCAAGUCGAACGGAAAGGCCCUGCUUUUGUGGGGUGCUCGAGUGGCGAACGGGGGAUUAACACGUGAGUAACCUGCCCUUGACUUUGGGUUAACUUCAGGAAACUGGGGCUAAUACCGGAUAGGAGCUCCUGCUGCUUGGUGGGGGUUGGAAAGUUUCGGCGGUUGGGGAUGGACUCGCGGCUUAUCAGCUUGUUGGUGGGGUAGUGGCUUACCAAGGCUUUGACGGGUAGCCGGCCUGAGAGGGUGACCGGCCACAUUGGGACUGAGAUACGGCCCAGACUCCUACGGGAGGCAGCAGUGGGGAAUAUUGCACAAUGGGCGGAAGCCUGAUGCAGCAACGCCGCGUGCGGGAUGACGGCCUUCGGGUUGUAAACCGCUUUCGCCUGUGACGAAGCGUGAGUGACGGUAAUGGGUAAAGAAGCACCGGCUAACUACGUG